GAGGAGCCCAGCCCUGAAUAGUAGCUGACCCCAUUCAUUGAUUAGCCCUGGCACAGACCACUCACCAUGGAGUUAGUGCUGACCUGGAUUUUCUUUGUAGCUAUUUUUAAAGGUGUCCAGUGUGAGGUGCAGCUGGUGGAGUCUGGGGGAGGCUUGGUGCAGCCAGGAGGGGCUCUGAAACUCUCAUGUGCAGCCUCUGGAUUCACCUUCAGUAGCUAUGCCAUGAGCUGGGUCCUUCAGGCUCCAGGAAAGGGACUGGAGUGGAUUGCAGGAAUUAGCAACAGUGGUGGUAGCACAUACUACGCAGACUCUGUGAAGGGCCGAUUCACCAUCUCCAGAGACAAUAACAAGAACCAGCUGUAUCUGCAAAUGAACAGCCUGAGAGCCGAGGACACAGCCGUGUAUUACUGUACAACAGGCACAGUGAGGAGACUUCAGUGUGAGCCCAGACAUAAAACUCCCUGUAGUGCUCUGCGUGACCAGAAGGUGGUUGUCUGCACACAUUGUUCUUAG